rnacentral:rRNA from 1 species
CAAUAGCGUAUAUUAAAGUUGUUGCGGUUAAAAAGCUCGUAGUUGGAUUUCUGUUGAGAACGUCCGGUCCGCACUAUGUGCGUGUAUCUGGUUCGGUCUUGGCAUCCUCUUGAGGAACGUAUCUGCGCUUGAUUGCAUGGAGCGGUAUUCAAGACUUUUACUUUGAGGAAAUUAGAGCGUUCACGGCAGGCAAGCGCCUUGAAUACGUUAGCAUGGAAUAAUAAUAUAGGAUCUUGGUUCUAUUUUGUUGGUUUCUAGGGCUAAGGUAAUGAUUAAUAGGGAUAAUUGGGGGCAUUUGUAUUAACGCGUCAGAGGUGGAAUUCUUGGAUUGCGUUACGACAAACUACUGCGAAAGCAUUUGCCAAGGAUGUUUUCAUUGA